CGAGAAAGCCCGCAAGGGUGAGUAAAGCGGCGCACGGGUGCGUAACACGUGGGUAAUCUGCCCUAGAGUCCGGAAUAACUCGCCGAAAGGCGCGCUAAUGCCGGAUGAGACCACGGGAGCCUCGGCUCCUGGGGGAAAAGGUGGCCUCUGUAUACAAGCUAUCACUUCAGGAUGAGCCCGCGGCCCAUCAGCUCGUUGGCGGGGUAACGGCCCACCAAGGCUACGACGGGUAGCUGGUCUGAGAGGACGAUCAGCCACACUGGAACUGAGACACGGUCCAGACUCCUACGGGAGGCAGCAGUGGGGAAUCUUGCGCAAUGGGCGAAAGCCUGACGCAGCAACGCCGCGUGUGUGAUGAAGGUCUUCGGAUCGUAAAGCACUGUCGCGAGGGACG
rnacentral:rRNA from 1 species